rnacentral:rRNA from 1 species
UACGUAGGGUGCGAGCGUUGUCCGGAAUUAUUGGGCGUAAAGAGCUCGUAGGCGGUGUGUCACGUCGGCCGUGAAAACCUGCAGCUUAACUGUGGGCGUGCGGUCGAUACGGGCAUCACUGGAGUUCGGCAGGGGAGACUGGAAUUCCUGGUGUAGCGGUGAAAUGCGCAGAUAUCAGGAGGAACACCGGUGGCGAAGGCGGGUCUCUGGGCCGAUACUGACGCUGAGGAGCGAAAGCAUGGGGAGCAAACAGG